rnacentral:lncRNA from 1 species
CUGCAUCCGUAAUUUCCAUUAAUCUGUCCUCCACCUUGCUUAUUCAGUCUUCUGCCUCCUGUAUUCUGCUGUUGACUGCUUCUAGUGAAUUUUUUAUUUCAGUUAUUGUAUUUUGCAUCUCUUCUUGUUUAAGUUUUACAUCUUGUAUCUCUUUGGUCAGUGUUUCCUGUAAGUUAUCCAUCUUUGCCUCCAGUUUAUUCCCAAUGUCUUGCAUCAUCUUCAGCAUCAACAGUCUAAAGUCUUUUUCCUGGAGGCUGAGAAUCUCCUCAUUGCUUAGCUGAUUUUCUGGGGUUUUUCCUUCCUCCCUCAUCUGAGUUUUAGAGUUUUCUGUCUUUUCAUGUUUAUAGGUUUUAGGUGUGGUGACCUUUUUACAGAUAAUAGGGUUGUAUCCUCUCUUACUUCUGGUGUCUCCCCCAUUGUGGCUGAAGUCUGUAUGGGUGCUUGCUGUAUGCUUCCUGAUGCAAGGGGCUGAGGCCUGCCCACUGAUAGGUGGAGCUGAUUCUAAUCCCUCUGGUGGGUGGGGCUUAGUCUCUGGAUGGGAUUAGAGGCAGCUGUGUGCGUGAGGGGUCUUUAGGUAGCCUGUUUACUGAGGGGUAGGACUAUGAUCCCACCUGGAUUGUUGUUUGCCCUGGGGUUUCUCAGCACUGCCUGAUGGAUGAGGCCAGAUUUUCCCAAAAUGGCCACCUCCAGAGAAAGGCAGCUGCUGAAUAUUCCCAGAGCUUUGCUUUCAAUGUCCGUCCCCCACAAUAAGCCACAUUCACCCCUGUUUUCCCAGGAUGUCCUCCAAGAACUGCAGUCAGGUUUGACCCAGAUUCCUAUGGAGACCUUGCUCUGCCCUGGGAUCCAGUGCAUGUGAAAGAAUGUGUGCACCUUUUAAGAAUGGGGGUCUCCAUUUCCCCCAGUCCUGUGGAGCUUCUGCACACAAGCCCCACUGGCCUUCAAUGCCAGAUGAUCCAGGGGCUCUUUCUCCCAGUGCCAGAUCCCCACACAUGAGGGUUUGAUGUGGGGCUCAGAACUCUCACAUCAGUAAGUGAGUCUCUCUCUGUGAACCAGUUAGUUUUCAGUCUGUGGAGCUUCCCACCCGGGAGGUAUGGGGUUGUUUAUAUCGUGAAAUCGCCCCCCUACCUCUUGAUGUGGCCUCCUCUUUUUCUUCUGAGUAGGGUAUCUUUUUUAAGGUUUCCGGUCCAUUUUGGUGAAGAGUGCUCAGCUUUUAGUUGUGAAUUUUGUUGUUUUUAGGAGAGAACUUGAGCUCCAGUCCUUCUAUUCCGCCAUCUUAAUCCCAUAUCCCCCAACAAUAUAAAUAUAAUUGUAAACACAGUGACAGUUAAACUUUAUGGGAGUUCCCACUGUGGAGCAGCAAGUUAAGGAUCUGGAAUUGCCAUGGCUGUGUCAUAGGUUGCAGCUGUGACUCAGAUUCAUUCCUGGCCUGAGAACUUCCAAAUGCUGAAAGUACAGCCAAAAAAAAAAAAAAAAAAAAGUUAUGGAACUGCUUCCCAGGCAUGACAAUAAACAUUUCAUUUGUACUACAUCUAUUCUGCACAUAUUUGCCUCACUGUUUUAUCACCAUCUCCAUUCUACAGAUGAGAACACUGAGGAACACAGACACUAUCUUUUUCGAGAUUACUGUCAUUAAGAGACAGAGAAAGGAUCUAAAUCUAGGGUUUUAUGACACCAAAUACCGCCCUUUCCACAGCUGCCAGACUGCCCUGCACCUGACAGACUCUCAGACUUUUUCCAUGCCCUGACAAGGGCUUAUGACUGGGUACCCUCUGCAUGUGGGUCACUAAUUUCUCAGUGGUUAUGUGUGACCGAUGGGUUAGGGCAGGCACUCUUGAUCCCUGAGCAGAGUCCAGUGACAAUUUCAUCCCUGCUAACUGGGACUGGCAGUAAGACCCUAUAAUCCUUCUCAGUAAGGACAGUGUAGAACAAUUUCCAACCUCACAUAAAGCUAGGCCUACAGAGGGGUCUGCCCCUGCUGCCCACAGGCAUUUACUUUCUGCUCUCAUCCUCUUCCAUCCUCUCUCUUCAAUUAGUCAGAUGGCAAUGCAGCAACUCAAUCAGUGUGUUCCAGGAGGUCAAACUUUGGGAAGACUCUAACAAUGAAUUAAAUUUUCAUUUUAGACCCUUAAUAGCCCAAUCAAUAAUUUAGGGAGCAAAGAAAACAUUUUCUGGGAAAGCAUUAGCUUAAAACUGAAAAGUAGCUGCUCAUCCCUUGGAAAUGACACAAUUUCAACAAGGAUGGGGUAGAGGGAGCAGAGGCUCACAGUCGGGGUUUUCUUUUUUUGUACACUCUUAACUCCUUUUCUCUCUCUCUCUCUCUUCCUCUCUCCAUCCAUCCCUCCCUCCCACUUUCCCUCUCUCUCCCUUUUCUCUCCAUACUUGCUCCUUUUUUCCUCCUCUCUCUGUCUAGUCUUCUCUCUUUUUUGCCCCCACGCUACUGCUAUUUAAUGUUUUGUACUUUCUCAUCUUUCUGAAUAUUGUACUUGCUGGUGCAAUAACUAAUUAAUACUGUAACCAAUCUGUAGCUAUGAAUUAUUUUUUCUUAGGAACAAAUCAAAACCAUUACCCACUAAGGGUAAUUCCAUUUUGAAGUAUUAGUUUAAUUUCAUUUUGAAGUAUUAGUCACAGUUAAAAUUAAAGAUUCACCUUAAAGAAAUGGCUACAAUUCAAAAUUUUUUUCCAAUGUGCUUGGCUGACUAAUGUUUAAUUUAAAAUGUAAAAAGAGACAAGGUUCUAAGAGUUUCAAAGCUGUUUUGAGAAAGUACAUGGUGGUUAAUACUAUGUCCAACUUGCUAAAAAUCUUUGAACUAAUUUCCAAUAAACUA